UGGCGCACGGGUGAGUAACGCGUGGGUAACCUACCCUUGAGUUGGGGAUAACCCCGCGAAAGCGGGGCUAAUACCGAAUAAUAAUUCAGCCUCUAUGGAGAUUGAAUUUAAAGAUAGCCUCUACGUGUAAGCUAUUGCUCAUGGAUGGGCCCGCGUACCAUUAGCUAGUUGGUAGGGUAAAAGCCUACCAAGGCAACGAUGGUUAGCUGGUCUGAGAGGAUGGCCAGCCACACUGGAACUGAGACACGGUCCAGACUCCUACGGGAGGCAGCAGUGGGGAAUCUUGCGCAAUGGGGGAAACCCUGACGCAGCAACGCCGCGUGGGUGAUGAAGGCCUUCGGGUCGUAAAGCCCUGUCAGGUGGGAAGAAACAUGUCGAUGCAAAUAGCAUCGACAUUUGACGGUACUACCGGAGGAAGCACCGGCUAACUCCGUGCCAGCAGCCGCGGUAAUACGGAGGGUGCAAGCGUUGUUCGGAAUUAUUGGGCGUAAAGCGCGUGCAGGCGGUUGGGUAAGUCAGAUGUGAAAGCCUUCUGCUUAACGGAAGAAGUGCAUUUGAAACUGCUCAGCUAGAGUACGGGAGAGGAGAGUGGAAUUCCCGGUGUAGAGGCGAAAUUCGUAGAUAUCGGGAGGAACACCAGUGGCGAAGGCGGCUCUCUGGUCCGAUACUGACGCUGAGACGCGAAAGCGUGGGGAGCAAACAGGAUUAGAUACCCUGGUAGUCCACGCUGUAAACGAUGGGCACUAGGUGUAGGAGGUAUUGACCCCUUCUGUGCCGAAGCUAACGCAUUAAGUGCCCCGCCUGGGGAGUACGGUCGCAAGAUUAAAACUCAAGGAAUUGACGGGGGCCCGCACAAGCGGUGGAGCAUGUGGUUCAAUUCG
rnacentral:rRNA from 1 species